AGUGAACGCUGGCGGUAGGCCUAACACAUGCAAGUCGAACGGCAGCACAGUAAGAGCUUGCUCUUACGGGUGGCGAGUGGCGGACGGGUGAGGAAUACAUCGGAAUCUACUUUUUCGUGGGGGAUAACGUAGGGAAACUUACGCUAAUACCGCAUACGACCUACGGGUGAAAGCAGGGGAUCUUCGGACCUUGCGCGAUUGAAUGAGCCGAUGUCGGAUUAGCUAGUUGGCGGGGUAAAGGCCCACCAAGGCGACGAUCCGUAGCUGGUCUGAGAGGAUGAUCAGCCACACUGGAACUGAGACACGGUCCAGACUCCUACGGGAGGCAGCAGUGGGGAAUAUUGGACAAGGGGCGCAAGCCUGAUCCAGCCAUACCGCGUGGGUGAAGAAGGCCUUCGGGUUGUAAAGCCCUUUUGUUGGGAAAGAAAAGCAGCAGGUUAAUACCCCGCUGUUCUGACGGUACCCAAAGAAUAAGCACCGGCUAACUGCGU
rnacentral:rRNA from 1 species